rfam:Gossypium raimondii Chr11_contig_141, whole genome shotgun sequence.
UGUUAAAAAUUUCAUCCAUUUUUUUUCUAUUAAAAACUACUAUAGCUAAUAGAAUAACCAGACAAUUAGACUUAAUAUGUCAUGUGUGCUUCAUGUUAACGUACAAGGAUAAACUUUUAACAGUAAAAAUAGAUGGAAAUUUGUAUA